AGUGAUAAAUUCAACGGCCGCGGUAUUCUAACCGUGCGAAGGUAGCGUAAUCACUUGUCCUUUAAAUGAGGACUAGUAUGAACGGCUUCACGAAGGCUGCACUGUCUCCUUUUUCUAAUCAGUAAAACUAAUCUCCCCGUGAAGAAGCGGGAAUCCACCUAUAAGACGAGAAGACCCUAUGGAGCUUUAAACAAUUGUUUACACUUGCACUCAUUUUUAUUUUAUAUUUAACCAAGCAUUAUGUUUCUAGUUUUAGGUUGGGGUGACCAUGGAGAAAAACUUAUCCUCCAUAUUGAAAGAAAUUCUAUUUCUUAGCAAAAAGUUACAUCUUGAUGCACCAAUAAAUUGACCUUAAUUGACCCAAUAAUUUGAUCAACGAACCAAGUUACCCUAGGGAUAACAGCGCAAUCCACUUCAAGAGUUCUUAUCGACAAGUGGGUUUACGACCUCGAUGUUGGAUCAGGGUAUCCUAGCGGUGCAGCCGCUGCUAAUGGUUCGUUUGUUCAACGAUUAAAACCCUACGUG
rnacentral:rRNA from 1 species